UACGUAGGUAGCAAGCGUUGUCCGGAUUUAUUGGUCGUAAAGAGCUCGUAGGCGGUUUAGAAAGUCAGGUGUGAAACCUCCAGGCUCAACCUGGAGACGCCACUUGAUACUUCUAUGACUUGAGUUCGGUAGGGGACCAUGGAAUUCCUGGUGUAGCGGUGAAAUGCGCAGAUAUCAGGAGGAACACCGAUGGCGAAGGCAGUGGUCUGGGCCGAUACUGACGCUGAGGAGCGAAAGCGUGGGGAGCGAACAGG
rnacentral:rRNA from 1 species